GCUGCUGCAAACAGUUAUGGGCAUGUAUGAAUUAACAGUGGAACAUAGAAAGCUGGAAUUUCUUGCACUGGCUGUCAUUUUGUAGAAUAUUCCUGAUACUCCAGGCUUCACUCUGAUUUUGCUUUGAGGUGUUUUCUGUGUUUGUUCACCCAGCAGAUUCUGAAGCCAGGUUAACCAAGAAUAGUUCUUGUAGUUUUGAAGUAGAGGUUCAACAUCAUGACAAGUAUCAUUGUUAAUCACUACUUUCUUUGAUGCAAAAACCUGAGAUGGAGUAAAGAUUUCCUUUGCAGACUGUUUUGCUACUGAAAUCACUACUGAUAUAAAAGACAAUUUUAAAGAUUUCCUGUUACCAGCACUUGUUGGUCAAGGUUUCCACCACUGCUGGGUCAAAAGUAACAUUGUGAUGCUCUGGAAAUUCUGGGAAAAGGGAAAAAAAAAAAAAGAAAGUGCUGAUCUGCAGGCUCACUUAAGAUCAGUUGCUGCCUUUCUGACCCUUGUAGCUACCAGACUUCUGAAAUGUACUCCCAGACAGGAAUCUCUGAACUUUAAGUCCUCCACGGCAGCCCAGCUGCAGCACAGCAACCCCACGCUUAUGCCAUGGUGGGAGCUGGUCAGAUACUGUGAGCUCAUCCUUAACAGCAGAGAGUAACCAGUAGUGACUGCCUUGAAGAUGCACACAGGAAAGUUGUCACAACCUGCCACAGGCAUACAAAAUACCUGUAAGGUCAGCAAUAUGUGUCUAGUGCAGAAUGGGUGUA